UACGGGGGGGAGCAAGCGUUGUUCGGAUUUACUGGGCGUAAAGGGCGCGUAGGCGGCGCAACAAGUCACUUGUGAAAUCUCCGGGCUUAACCCGGAGCGGCCAAGUGAUACUGUCGUGCUAGAGUGCGGAAGGGGCUACUGGAAUUCUCGGUGUAGCGGUGAAAUGCGUAGAUAUCGAGAGGAACACCUGAGGUGAAGACGGGUUGCUGGGCCAACACUGACGCUGAGGCGCGAAAGCGUGGGGAGCGAACAGG
rnacentral:rRNA from 1 species